rnacentral:rRNA from 1 species
AUUGAACGCUGGCGGCAGGCCUAACACAUGCAAGUCGAACGGUAACAGGAAGAAGCUUGCUUCUUUGCUGACGAGUGGCGGACGGGUGAGUAAUGUCUGGGAAACUGCCUGAUGGAGGGGGAUAACUACUGGAAACGGUAGCUAAUACCGCAUAACGUCGCAAGACCAAAGAGGGGGACCUUCGGGCCUCUUGCCAUCGGAUGUGCCCAGAUGGGAUUAGCUAGUAGGUGGGGUAACGGCUCACCUAGGCGACGAUCCCUAGCUGGUCUGAGAGGAUGACCAGCCACACUGGAACUGAGACACGGUCCAGGCUCCUACGGGAGGCAGCAGUGGGGAAUAUUGCACAAUGGGCGCAAGCCUGAUGCAGCCAUGCCGCGUGUAUGAAGAAGGCCUUCGGGUUGUAAAGUACUUUCAGCGGGGAGGAAGGGAGUAAAGUUAAUACCUUUACUCAUUGACGUUACCCGCAGAAGAGGCACCGGCUAACUCCGUG